AAGAUCUCAGGGCUUCCGUCCAGUUUGGAUCUUCAGAGCUUGAUGCGCCCGAAGGAGCCAUCAUCAUCUUACCGAAAUAGGUUUCGGCACUCAUGACGGCCCCGACAAUUAAAAGAAAGGACAAGGUCAGACUCCCGGGGAACCCCUUCAUUAAGAAGGAAGUGAAGGUGUGCCCCCCCAGAGAGCCCCCAUUUAGUCGCUAAAGGCAGGCAUCUAUCCUUCCAUUUGAUAAAAAGGCAUCCGAGCCGAAGUAAUUCAAUUCACUCGAAAGGAGAAGAGCGUCAAGCAGCCCCAACUCUAGCUCCAGAGGGGUCCGUAGAGCAGGAGAAUGCUCAGGUCCGUCUACGUGUGAUUCCUCAUUUGGUUCCUAAAACGUGAGGUGAGCUGCUGAUUCUACUCUUGGAGUGACUCAACAUAAUGCUUCCAGAAAAGGCUUUUAACCGGAAAUAAGAUAAAAGAAUAAAAAAAAAGACCAUAGUAGAUCUAUGAUUAGCCCUCGGUCGGGAUGGUCCUGUCGAAGAACUUGAUUCAUGCAAAGAAAGAAACUUAGGAUAGGAGACUUAUGGAAGCAGCAGGGCUGGGUCUGCGAGUGAAACCCCAAAACCUCAAAUCCACUAAUGCCUAUCAAAUAAGAGUCCUACCGAGGAUCCGGUGUCUAAGGUGUCUAGGAUUUCUCCCAAAAGUA
rnacentral:lncRNA from 1 species